UUUGUCUUUUUCACCACCACAAACGAUUCCAAUUCCUCUUUUCUUUCUCAACCCAUCACAAACCCCAAAACCAUUCCUCUCUUGCUAAUCCACUCUCACUGCCACUUUAUCAUGAUUCACAACGAUUCCUCUCUUGCUAAGCCUAAGUCGUUCGAAUUUCUUCUGCAACCGCGAAGCCAACCUAUUCUCUUAAACCCUUAAAUUGCAAUUGUAACGUGAAACCCUUAUAUUUUUGCAUCUCGUUGGUUAUUGUGAACCAGAAGAGGAAGAAAGUGUACUCCUUCUUAGAGGAGUAGUGAAGUUUCAGCAAAACAUAGUCAACAGAGGAGACAAGUCGAUCUCUUCAAGAAGAUAAAGGGGAUACUGCUUCUCAUAUCACUGUUGCUUCUGCUUCUCUCUUCCGCCUCAACACAAUAUGUAUACGGUUUCUUUUAAAAGAUAGAUUCAAAUUUCCUCAAAGAAAAUCACAACAGAGAUGUUAUUUUGAUAACUUUAGAAAAACUAUUUUUUGUAUGAGUAGUUAGAUUAAUUCUAAGAGACAGAUACAUACUUACAAACAAGAACAAAUGAUACUUUAUAAAAUAUAAGAAUUAGAGCUAGAAUUAUUGAA